GGAGAGGUGGCAGAGUGGUUGAAUGCACUGGUCUUGAAAACCAGCAUACGAGCAAUCGUAUCGGGAGUUCGAAUCUCCCUCCCUCCGCCA
rnacentral:tRNA from 2 species